GAUGAACGCUAGCUACAGGCUUAACACAUGCAAGUCGCGGGGCAGCAUGGGGGUUGCUUGCAAUCCCCGAUGGCGACCGGCGCACGGGUGAGUAACGCGUAUCCAACCUGCCCUUCACCACGGGAUAACCCGGCGAAAGUCGGACUAAUACCGUAUGUUGUCCAUUGACGGCAUCCGAUUUGGACGAAAGGUUUGGCGGUGAAGGAUGGGGAUGCGUCCGAUUAGCUGGACGGCGGGGUGACGGCCCACCGUGGCGACGAUCGGUAGGGGUUCUGAGAGGAAGGUCCCCCACACUGGAACUGAGACACGGUCCAGACUCCUACGGGAGGCAGCAGUGAGGAAUAUUGGUCAAUGGGCGUAAGCCUGAACCAGCCAAGUAGCGUGCAGGAUGACGGCCCUAUGGGUUGUAAACUGCUUUUAUGCGGGGAUAAAGUGGCCCACGUGUGGGUUUUUACAGGUACCGCAUGAAUAAGGACCGGCUAAUUCCGUG
rnacentral:rRNA from 1 species